GUGAGGGUGAAGGCAGAGAUCGGGGUGACGCUUCUACAAGCCAAGGGAUGCCAAGGCUGCCAGCAAACCACCAGAAGCUGGGGGAGAGGCAAGGAGCAGAUUCUCCCUCACAGCCCUCAGAAGGAUCCAGUCCUGCCGCCACCUUGAUCUCGGACUUCUGGCCUCCAGAACUAUGAGCAAAACCAAGAUUACGAAGUGACUUUCCGGAGGUUACCUGGGUGCGGUGGACCUUGUUGACUGGUACUUAUUUCUCUGCACCUCUUAAAUGCCGAUCCCCAAUACAGCCCAGUCCUGAGCCCUCAGCCCUUCAGGAGUUCAUCCAUUCAUGCAUCUUUGAGGCACACAAUGUUCUAAGCACAGGGUCCCAGCAGAGAGACAAACAAAUAUACAAACAAACAGAGACAACCCCCUCUCUACCUCCACCCACCAUGGGGAACAGACAGUAAACAAGUUUCCUCUCCAGGCCUCUCUCCUCCUACUGCCAUCUGCAGGAAAGGUGUGGCAAAUACACCCCCUGCCUCGGGGACACACUGUGCGGCGGGCAGGUCUCUUCCCACACGUGAAUAAUGAGGUGGGGUAGGAUCAACUGAUAUCUUGGAUCCUAGAAUUUCCAUGGACUUGGCAGGGAUGCUGAAGGCUUGGUGGGACGUAAAAGGGACACGUUCCUCAAACUGCAACAUUGGACCAAGCCUCCCUUUCUGAGGUCCAAGCCAGAGCAACAGAGGUCCUGGGGGAUGGGAGGGAAGGGCAGACUGGCCAGAUUCCACGUUUGGGACCCAUACAGGGCUUGAAGCGGGCUGGAUGCCCAGAAGACAGAAGCUAUGUAUCUGAGGUUGGGAUCUUAUGUGAUUCUCUCACCGUGUGCCUCUGCUGAAUGGAGCUGCGCACCUAGUCCCCUAUUCAGGUCAAAUGGCACCCUUUGCUCUGCCGUGUUCGUGCCUGUGUGUGUGCAUGUGUGUAGGAGCGUGGAAAAAGGAGGAGAAAAGCCGCAUCCUCGGCGGGCCCACCUGACACCACGCAUAGCAGCCUUCGACAGGGCAAGAUGAAGGAGAAGAAGCUGUUACAGCCCAACUGUCUCUUGGUUUCCCCACUUCCACAUGAAGGAAGGGUGACCGAAGGGCUCUCCCUGGGUGUGCCUGUCCCUCACUUGGUGAGCCAGCGAGAUCAGUGGGUUCAUCAGUUCUGGGGUGGGGAGUCUUCCUUUGCUCUUCUGUGCCCCUGGGGUGGGGUGGGCUCCAACAGCCUCUCAGUUCUGAGGGGUGACUAAAUCCCUAUCCUGCCGUGUGACCUUGUGCGAGUCACUUGACUUCUCUGAGCUGGCUUCCUCAUCUAGCUCACGAGGCUAAUAGUACAAACUCACAGGGUUGUUGAGAGGAUCAAAUGGUACAUAACCAGUACUUAGACUCUUAUUGUUAGCUCUGGGUUUCCAGCCUGGUCGGCGCCUGGCACCAUCGCUGGCCCUCUUCACUCCUACGUGGAAAGCCAGCAACCUCAGAUCAUCCCUGGGCUCUAUAACCAUGCUCUCUACCAUCGUAGCCACUAGCCACCCACAGCUAUUCAGCAUUUGAAAUGAUAUUUUGCCUGAAUCAAGAUGUGCUGUAUUUUAUUAUUAUUUUACAUUAAAUUUCAAAGACAAUAUGAAAAUGUAAAUAUAUCAUUAAUGAUUU